rnacentral:rRNA from 1 species
GUGACCGUGGCAGUGGAGGAGGAAGCAGUGCUGGAGGAGGAGGAUGAGGUAGCCAACACGCGGUAUAUAUAUAUUUUAAUUGGGGUAGCCCCCAAAAUAUUGGGACAUAUAAAAAAAGACAACUCUGUUCCGCAGAGUAGCUAUUGACAUUAUAGUUGCGCAGGAACUUUGUUGACUCUAGAGAACCUCGGGCAAAUCGCACAUUCCCGUGGCGGCGACUUUGCAUGCGGAUGUCAUCCAUAUCAACUUUCGAUGCCAGUUUCUGCACCUACCAUGGUGACCACGGGUAAUGGGGAAUCAGGGUUCCAUUCCGUACAGGGACCCUGAGAAACGGCUACCACAUGCAAGGAAGGCA